CUUCUAUCUAAGAGCUAUAAUAGGAAGUUUGGAAUUUGUUGUAGUCUUUUCCUAGUUUGUUCUUAAUUUUUAAUUUGCUUCUUUUCUCAGGUGUUGCUGUAGUUUAGAUCCUGAAUGUCCCCUGAAGGACCAUGAGUUGGAAGCUUGGUCCCCAAGGAGGUGCUACGGAGGGGUGUAACCUUCAAGAGUGGUCCUGGUGGGAUGUCUAUUGUGACUUUCAGAAAACAGGCAUUAUGGAGGAUCUGGAAUAUGAAAACUGAAACAAAAAUCAGAACAUUAUUCCCAAGCCCAUGUGAGACAAUUUUGUGGAAAAGAAACUCCCAGUGGAGGUUUGAUGAGAGUGGAGCUGAUUUUUAUUUCAGAAGGAAGUGAUUAAUAAGUAAUCAAACUGAUCAAACCUAGGGCCUUAUCCAUUCACCCUUUGAAGGACAAUGCUUUGGUGGCUUCCAAGUUUGGGCAAUUACAGAAUAAAACUUCUGUGAGCAUCCAUGUGCCUGUUCUGUGAACUUGAAUAUUCAGCUCACUUGGUUAAUACCAGGAAGUGAAAUUGCUGAAUUCUAAGGCAGAUUUAUCUCUCCUGGAGUACACCAUAGGAAGGAAGUUCCACCACAGGAAGGAAGUAAUCUGGACUUUGGGGAUGACACCAGAAGAUCUCAGCAAUGACUGUCUCCGAAAUUAACAACUGAAUUACAACUACAACAGAGAACCCAUGGAAUGUAGCCUUUGAAGCACCCUUUAAAAGCUGAUCAGUAGAAUCACAGCUUUUGGGACAGGAGUCCCCUGUGUUUCUCCUUUGCUAGCAAAGCAAUAAACUUUCUUAUUCCUUUUUUUUUCUCAAAAUUGUGUCCUCAUUACUGAAUUGGCACUGGGAACAAGGACCAAUCUUUCAGCAACAAUAGUAAAUAAAGAACAUGGCUGGGUUCCAAUAAAAAUGUUUAUAAAAACUGGCAAAGUGACAAAAUUUGUCAAUUUCUUUCCUAAAGCAUUGUUUAGUAAAAAUUUUUUUUU